rnacentral:rRNA from 1 species
GAACCGAGAAGCUUGCUUCUCUGAUGUUAGCGGCGGACGGGUGAGUAACACGUGGAUAACCUACCUAUAAGACUGGGAUAACUUCGGGAAACCGGAGCUAAUACCGGAUAAUAUUUUGAACCGCAUGGUUCAAAAGUGAAAGACGGUCUUGCUGUCACUUAUAGAUGGAUCCGCGCUGCAUUAGCUAGUUGGUAAGGUAACGGCUUACCAAGGCAACGAUGCAUAGCCGACCUGAGAGGGUGAUCGGCCACACUGGAACUGAGACACGGUCCAGACUCCUACGGGAGGCAGCAGUAGGGAAUCUUCCGCAAUGGGCGAAAGCCUGACGGAGCAACGCCGCGUGAGUGAUGAAGGUCUUCGGAUCGUAAAACUCUGUUAUUAGGGAAGAACAUAUGUGUAAGUAACUGUGCACAUCUUGACGGUACCUAAUCAGAAAGCCACGGCUAACUACGUGCCAGCAGCCGCGGUAAUACGUAGGUGGCAAGCGUUAUCCGGAAUUAUUGGGCGUAAAGCGCGCGUAGGCGGUUUUUUAAGUCUGAUGUGAAAGCCCACGGCUCAACCGUGGAGGGUCAUUGGAAACUGGAAAACUUGAGUGCAGAAGAGGAAAGUGGAAUUCCAUGUGUAGCGGUGAAAUGCGCAGAGAUAUGGAGGAACACCAGUGGCGAAGGCGACUUUCUGGUCUGUAACUGACGCUGAUGUGCGAAAGCGUGGGGAUCAAACAGGAUUAGAUACCCUGGUAGUCCACGCCGUAAACGAUGAGUGCUAAGUGUUAGGGGGUUUCCGCCCCUUAGUGCUGCAGCUAACGCAUUAAGCACUCCGCCUGGGGAGUACGACCGCAAGGUUGAAACUCAAAGGAAUUGACGGGGACCCGCACAAGCGGUGGAGCAUGUGGUUUAAUUCGAAGCAACGCGAAGAACCUUACCAAAUCUUGACAUCCUUUGACAACUCUAGAGAUAGAGCUUUCCCCUUCGGGGGACAAAGUGACAGGUGGUGCAUGGUUGUCGUCAGCUCGUGUCGUGAGAUGUUGGGUUAAGUCCCGCAACGAGCGCAACCCUUAAGCUUAGUUGCCAUCAUUAAGUUGGGCACUCUAAGUUGACUGCCGGUGACAAACCGGAGGAAGGUGGGGAUGACGUCAAAUCAUCAUGCCCCUUAUGAUUUGGGCUACACACGUGCUACAAUGGACAAUACAAAGGGCAGCGAAACCGCGAGGUCAAGCAAAUCCCAUAAAGUUGUUCUCAGUUCGGAUUGUAGUCUGCAACUCGACUACAUGAAGCUGGAAUCGCUAGUAAUCGUAGAUCAGCAUGCUACGGUGAAUACGUUCCCGGGUCUUGUACACACCGCCCGUCACACCACGAGAGUUUGUAACACCCGAAGCCGGUGGAGUAACCUUUUAGGAGCUAGCCGUCGAAGGUGGGACAAAUGAUUGGGGUGAAGUCGUAACAAGGUAGCCGUAUCGGAAGGUGCGGCUGGAUCACCUCCUUUCUA